AUGAGAUAUGAUGAUUUUAAUCCAUCAAUUCUGCAAUAGAAUGAAUGAUGAUCAUAAAACAUGCACUACCAUCUGAUCUCUU
rfam:Glycine max cultivar Williams 82 chromosome 15, whole genome shotgun sequence.